rnacentral:rRNA from 1 species
UGCAACACUUUUUCCCACUAGAGCUAAGCAGGGUUGAGCCUGGCCAGUACCUGGAUGGGAGACCUCCUGGGGAAAACUAAGGUUGCUGCUGGAA